UUUGUAACGGCAAUGACAUGAAUGAGCCCAACUCUUCACGGAUGGCACAAAUACAAAAGGGUUUAGUACCAAUAGCGGAGGAGGGGUCACCCGAGGAGAAAGUGUACUCAUACGAGGAGAAGAGGUGGAAAACACUUGUUGACGGAGAUGCAGAGUGGGAAAAAGACAUCAUUUGUGGGAAAUAAAAAACUGUUUGUUACCAAUAGAUGAGGAGGUAUUCACACCCGAAGAAAGAGAACUGGAAGAAAAGAGGAAGAGGAAAAAAGAAAUUCUAUCGAUAUUGCCCCUUUUGGAGCAGGAUGGGAUCUUGCAUAUUACGACAUGAAAGAUGGGAAAUUUCCUUCGCCGCUGCCAACAGAUCUUCCGCCGCCUCCUUCAGAUGUCUGGGAACAGUUGCGCGUAAAAAGACAACAUAUUGCAAGUGUGACCCAAACAACAGGAUCUAGCACUCCCGUGAGCUCAAACUUUGCAACAGAUGAAAGAUGUCGCAUCGGUACCCUAUGGCUAGAUGGAUCCCCCAGAAAUUGGCCAAAUUUCUAAGGCAUAUGCCCGUCAGUGUCGCCAAACGCAUUUUUUUGAUAUUGAUGACUACUUCGAAGGGUCAGUAUUUCCAUUUAGCCGAAUCAGAGGCAAUAGGGAGGCUGAAAUUAUGAUGGAACUUGCAAACCUUGCUAUCCAGGAAUAUAACGAGAAAGAAAGCAAUGAUUUCAAGUAUAAAGUUUUGAAGAUUGAAAAAGUGAAUUUUACUGUACUGUGGGAUUGUACGAGACGUAUUGGAUGACCGUCAUAGUAUCUAAUCUCACUCUUGUUACUCCUAUUGAAACUUUUCAAAUCCAUGCUGCUUUUACUAGCUUCAAUGAUGAUAGUAAGGUCCAUUGUUUCCGGCCUAAAGAAGAGCCUAUUAUUGGUUUGCCAAGCUGCGAGUUUUGCUUUGGCCUGCUGCCAAAAGGGCAUGUUGCGGGAGGACAGGAACCAUAGUUAUUUAAAUGUCUACCCCUUGUGAUUUCAUUAUUAUAAUUUGAAUAUUCCAUCGUAUCCUGUUUUUAGGCUAAAAUUUAAGAGAUUAUAAGACUCUUCAUGGUUUAUUUUUCUUAAAUAGAGGAAUACAAAAAGUAGAAAAGGCUUAUGAGAGUUCAUGAUUUUGACAAGUAUUGGAAUGCUUUUGCUUCACUUCACCAUACUAUUUUAUGAACAAACACUAGAUUCGAU